AAUGUGUGUGUGUGUGUGUGUGUGUGUAUUAUACUCUCUCUCUAUAAAUAUACACAUACCACACACACACACACACAUA